GUUGGAGCUGAAUUGAUUUUGCUUUUAAAUCCAUUACCAUCCUGAUCGUGGGGUUCGUAAUCUUAUGGUUUUUUAAUGUAUUGUUGUUGUUUAUCUGCAGGCCUUUCUUCUCAAGAUGAGAGCCAAGUGGAGGAAGAAGCGUAUGCGUAGGCUGAAGCGCAAAAGGAGAAAGAUGAGGCAGAGGUCAAAGUAAACGCUCCUCCAUUGCUACAUUUGAGGCCUGCAAGCUGAACAGAAGAGCGCUCCUGGGACAGACUAUGCAUAAACAUCAGCAGGAUGUCAUCUGGAAAUCUACCCAUGUGUUGAGCUUGAAGUCUGAAUCUUUGCCUAGCUGAACCUCUGUAUUGUUGUCCCUGAUGGCAAUUUACUGAAGAAGCCUGCCUGGAGUUUUGGACUUGUUCAUUUCUGGCUUCAUGUAGCAAGUGUAAUAAAGCUGUUUUGGCUAA